rnacentral:rRNA from 1 species
UGGGGAAUAUUGCACAAUGGGGGAAACCCUGAUGCAGCGACGCCGCGUGGACGAUGAAGCAUUUCGGUGCGUAAAGUCCUGUCAGCAGGGAAGAAAACGACAGUACCUGACCAAGAAGCCCCGGCUAACUACGUGCCAGCAGCCGCGGUAAUACGUAGGGGGCGAGCGUUAUCCGGAUUCACUGGGCGUAAAGGGAGCGCAGGCGGCACGGCAAGUCCGGUGUGAAAGCCCGGGGCCCAACCCCGGGACUGCACUGGAAACUGCCGGGCUGGAGUGCCGGAGGGGUAAGCGGAAUUCCUGGUG